GAACGAGACCAUUGAAUCUUGCC
rnacentral:siRNA from 1 species